GCUACACAAUGUCUUACACCAGUACUUGUCCAAUUACCUAUUUUAUACAAAAAAAAACACAACAAAAAAACCCUCCAAAAAUGACUGUAUUCAAUAGAUUAAUAUUUAUAACCCAUAUGUAGAUUGCGACAUGUGCCCAGCGUCUCCCAUAUAUAUCCCAGGGCUUUUGGGGUGAAGACUCAGGGUAUGUCGGUGAGCACUCUGUUCAUUGUUAUAUCAGUAAACCUUGGUUGAUGUUCUAUAAUCUCAUUAGCUUGCAAACUAUUUUUUUCCUCUUCUCUAUGUGUGCAAACAAUUUAUUUGCACUUUUUUGUCUUUGCAUGCAAACAAUUUUUUUAAGAAUUUUCCAUUCCCCCCUCCAAAAAAAUAAUGGUCCGUCCCUGAACUGAAUACGUAGUUGACCGAACCGCAGGUUCGAUUCCUGCCAGGGGACCUAUAGUUUUCGCAACUUCAUCUGGUUAGGUCAAGAAAUGUGUCAGAAAUUUGCGUUCGAAAAUACCAUCUACAAAAAACUCAUCUAGUAUUAGUUCUAUUGAAGGAGAUGCCCAAAAAUCUCGAAACAUGUAUUUCCCUUUCAUUCCAAACAGAUCCUUCAGGCAUGAUCGACAGCUCUACAUUUCGAGAUGAU